CUGGAAACAAACAUUUAUUUUGAGAUUUUAUCCAAGUAUAAAUCUAGAAUCUACAUAUAUAUUUGAUCAAAGUAUAUUUAUCUUCUCCGAUCAUUCUGAUAUGGCCCUUCGCUUUCUUUAUCUUUUAGAAAGCCUAGGAAAGCAAGGAAGCCAAAGAAGAAGAAUCCACCAGACCAGUUGCCUCCACCGCCGCCGCCACCUCCGCCACCAUCACCAUCAUCACGAGGUGGAAAUCCAGAAUCACCAUCAUCCAGUUGCGGUGACUUCUCCUUGCCAGGAAGAACAGUGAUUGUAGGAGCCUCUCUUGUAACGGUCUGUGUCUGCUCCGCUGCACAUCUAGCAUUCAAAGCAGCAAAACAUAUGAAAGCAUUGUUCUUUCUACUAGAACAUAGAACACCUCCCUUCGUCCCAGUAGAUGGAAUUGGAUUGAGAAAUACAGGUCCUGCUUUAGCAAACACUGAUUGCCUCCUCCCAUUAGGAGUUUGAAGUUGGGAACUAUACCGUCUAAGAGGGAAGUCUUUGGCCUUCAUUCUUCUCCAGUGCUGACCCACUGGGGGUAGAAGAGGUAGCAUGGAACCAGAAUUUGUAGUAAGCAUCUCCAUCUACAAGAGUGGAUGAUAACCUUUUGAGAUACGACAGACGCGCUUCGUCUCUGCAAAGUAUCGAAAAUGCGUAAUGUCGGAAUGCUUUCGAGAGAGAGAAGGAGAGAUUCUGAAAGGCCUCGCUACCGAGAGAUAUGGCGGUGAGCCCCUGGCGACGACUCUUUU
rnacentral:misc_RNA from 1 species